rnacentral:rRNA from 1 species
CGUCGCCAGCUUACCGCGUGAGCGCCAUUAAGUGAGCUUAAUGCCCAUACGCCAACACGUCAGGUCAAGGUGCAGCUAAUGAGAUGGGAAGAGAUGGGCUACACUUUCUACCAUAGAAAAAACGAAAGACUACCUAUGAAAUCUAGUCAGAAGGAGGAUUUAGUAGUAAAAAGAAAACAGAGUGUUCUUUUUAAUCCGGCACUGGGGUGUGUACACACCGCCCGUCACCCUCUUCAAGGCCCAAUCAAAGUACAUAACCAAACUUUGCCACAUAGAAGAGGCAAGUCGUAACAUGGUAAGUAUACCGGAAGGUGUGCUUGGAAA